CCGCCCCCCGCCCUUAUGUACGAUCGAGCUCCCCGCUUGCUCAGAUUGGCUGAAGGUGGCAGCACUGAGGAGCAUGUGGGCCCUGGGUCCUACCAGGUACCUGUCCUGAGGCAGCAGGCAACAGGUGGCUACGCACCAUUCCUUUCUUUGGCUACCAGAGAAAGUACAUUUACUGUUGCCUCUAACACUGAGAAAGCUGUUCCAGGGCCAGGGCACUAUAAUGUUUCAGAAGCACAGUAUAAUAUAAAAGGAGGUCAUAGUCUACAAAACCGGGAGAAGCGUUUUAAGAACUUUGGUUCAGAGAGUCCAGGACCAGCAAGCUAUGAUCAGUUUUAUCCUGGAACAUUAGAUACCGUGAAAAGAAAAGCGCCACAGAAAAUUUCAAGGGCACCACCUCCAGUUUCCAGAAGUGUUGAUGUUCCUUCAAUUCCUUCUUGUGGACGGUCAUAUGGUUAUGAUAUUAAUGAGGAUGGCGGUAUUAUAAAACAUUUUCCACCUGCUAGUGACAGUACACUAGGUCCAGCAUACUAUAAACCUCAAUUGGAUUUUUCCAGUGCAACUUUGAAAUACAAGGGGAUACAUUUUGGCAACUCUUUGGGAAGACUUGAGUUACCUAUAAAGUCAGGACCUGGUCCUGGACAGUAUGAUAUAGGCCAGAAGAAGACCCCUCAUUAUGAAAAUAUUAACAUCAAGAAAGAUCAACAGCUAAAUUAUUGCUUAAAUCUCCCACGAUUUUAUGAAGUAAUAAUAUUGCAGGAGGAAAAAAAGGGAGUACCAGGGCCUGGAAAAUAUGACAUUAAAAGCCAAUUUCGGAAGGCUGAAAGUAUACCAAGUGUAAAUGAUGCAUCACCUGCUUUCCUUUCUCAAUCCCAGAGAUUUGUACCUAUGAAAUCAAUCACUCCAGCUCCUGGCACAUAUAAUGAAUCUCGAACUGCUUUUAAUUCCUUGAAGAAAGCACCAGGACUGAAAAGUACCCCAUUUGGUCAAAGUGCUGCUCGAUUCACACAAGACUGUAGGACAGAGGAAAUGCCAGGUCCUGGGUUUUAUAAUAUCCUAAACAAUACUAUAAUUGACAAGGUUAGCAAUACCUGCUUGAAGAAACAAAAGAAAAGUGCAUUUGGUUCUUCUGUUCCUCGGACUCUCUUCCUGGUUCAGAAAGAAGCUUGUAGUUCUCCUGGUCCUGCUGAUUAUCAGGUUAGAAUUUCUGAUGAACUGCCUGACUUGACUAACUACUAUACUGCUUUCUUGUCAAGAACACAAAAAUCUACUAAACUGUCAGAUAUGGAUAAUCCAGCACCUGGCAGCUAUAAUGUUCAGAAAUCAUAUGAGAUGUCCCAAGUUCAACAUAAAUACAUGGCACCUCGUAGUUUUGUGGCUAAACUGAAACAUGCCUCCUUUCUUAGCACAACUCCUCGGUGCCUGGAGAAAAUGACUGAUGGGCCAGGGCCUGCAACAUACGAUCCUGUUUUAAAGAAAUCUUGCUCCAUACCCUUAUUUGUUAAAGCAUCAAAGCGUUUUAAAGAUUCCAAAGAGAUUACUCCUGGUCCAGCGACUUAUGAGAUGUCAAAAACAGGAGUUGAGAAAGAUGGACACGUUGGCCAGUUAGUAAUCAGCUCAGUCCAUUCUUAAGACAUUCUGUUCUGAAGAGGACAUUUAAUGUCACAUUGCCAAAUACUUCCCUGAUUACAAGAGAAAACACUUUUCCUAUAGAUCAAAAAGCCAAACAAAAAUACUCAGGAAGCAAAGUAAAAUCUUCUAAAUGGUAAUGAACUGGAGGAGCAAUCUGAAAGAAUAUUUUGGCUUAGGUUGAGAAGUACAAUAGAGACAGCACUUACUGAAACAGCUUUUCUUUCCCUGCAGAUAUAUUGUAAAGGUAUUAUCUAUUAAUAUAAAGAUAAGCUGACAGUUCUCUGACAAAGAAGUAAUUCCAUUUUGAUGAUGCCCUCCACCAGCUACUCAAAGGAAUAUAAUUGUUCUUCUAACCUUGAGAGAUAGAAAAAUCUGUUCUUGUAAGACAUUUAAUUCUCUAUUUUUUUCUCAAAAAUUUCCUAUUAAAAGAGCAGUAUAUAUAUUCAUUGCAUUCUUUCUAAACAUGUAUUACUAGUGCUUCCGUAUAAAAUACAAUGCUGAAUAAAGACAUCUGAAAACCUU